GACGAACGCUGGCGGCGUGCUUAACACAUGCAAGUCGAACGGAAAGGCCCUGCUUUUGUGGGGUGCUCGAGUGGCGAACGGGUGAGUAACACGUGAGUAACCUGCCCUUGACUUUGGGAUAACUUCAGGAAACUGGGGCUAAUACCGGAUAGGAGCUCCUGCUGCAUGGGGGGGGUUGGAAAGUUUGGGCGGUUGGGGAUGGACUCGGGCCUUAUCAGCUUGUUGGGGGGGUAGUGGCUUACCAAGCCUUUGCCGGGUGGCAGGCCUGAGGGGGUGACCGGCCAAGUUAGGACGGGACUGAGGCCCAGACUCCUACGGGAGGCAGCGGUGGGGAAGAUUGCACAAUGGGAGGGAGCCUGAUGCAGCAUCGCCGCGUGGGGGAAGACGUCCUGGGGGUUGUAAACCGCUGUCGCCUGAGACGAGGCGUGAGUGACGGUAAUGGGUGAAGAAGCACCGGCUAACUACGUG
rnacentral:rRNA from 1 species